CGGCAACAGCUCAAAUUUGAAAUCUGGCCCUCGGGUCCGAAUUGUAAUUUGUAGAGGAUGCUUUUGACAAGGUGCCUUCCGAGUUCCCUGGAACGGGACGCCAUAGAGGGUGAGAGCCCCGUCCGGCUGGAUACCGAGUCUCUGUAAAGCUCCUUCGAC
rnacentral:rRNA from 1 species